GGCUAUGAGGGCAAUCUGGCUGCAACAUCUGACGCCCCAAUGAUCACCAGGGUUGAUUCUGCCAAUCUGGCCAGCUAGGUGGGUAUCCCCACCCUCCUUCACUGCUCCAUGUGUGUACCCCCAGAUGUGGCAUGCUUGGCUAGAGAGGAUGACCUUCCCUGAUAGAGCUUCCAAACAGUCUCUCAAGGUCGUAGAGGAUAAAAGAUGGCCUGUGUGGCUAAAGAGACCUGACAUUGACCUCACCUCUGUUCCCUCCAGCCUCCCUGAGACUGGCCAAGCUGCUUCUCAGAUCUGAAGCCCAGUUUCCCAGCUGCAACGGGGGAGUGAGGGGAGGUUG
ensembl:misc_RNA 7SK 7SK RNA